UGCGUAGGCGGCGUUGUAAGUCAGAGGUGGAAUCCCACAGCUUAACUGUGGAACUGCCUUUGAUACUGCAAUGCUUGAAUCAGGUUGAGGUCGGCGGAAUGUGACAUGUAGCGGUGAAAUGCAUAGAUAUGUCAUAGAACACCAAUUGCGAAGGCAGCUGGCUAGACCUGUAUUGACGCUGAGGCACGAAAGCGUGGGGAGCGAACA
rnacentral:rRNA from 1 species